GAAACGGCUACCACAUCUACGGAAGGCAGCAGGCGCGCAAAUUACCCACUCCUAGAACGGGGAGGUAGUGACGAAAAAUAACAAUACCGGACUCAAUGAGGCUCGGUAAUUGAAAUGAGUACAGUUUAAAACCCUUAACGAGGAUCUAUUGGAGGGCAAGUCUGGUGCCAGCAGCCGCGGUAAUUCCAGCUCCAAUAGCGUAUAUUAAAGUUGUUGCAGUUAAAAAGCUCGUAGUUGGAUCUCGGGUACUAGCAUGUGGUACGCUUUUUUGCUGUUACUACAUGUCUGGUCCUAAUCAACCGGUUGGCCGUUGAUGCCCUUUAUUGGGUGUUUUCGGUAGCCGGUACGUUUACUUUGAGAAAAUUAGAGUGCUUAAAGCAGGCCUUAAGCCUGAAUAAUGUUGCAUGGAAUAAUAGAAUAGGACCUCGGUUCUAUUUUGUUGGUUUUGUAGAGCAUUGAGGUAAUGAUUAAUAGGGACAGACGUGGGCAUUCGUAUUGCGGUGUUAGAGGUGAAAUUCUUGGAUCGCCGCAAGACGAACAACUGCGAAAGCAUUUGCCAAGAAUGUUUUCAUUAAUCAAGAACGAAAGUUGGAGGUUCGAAGACGAUUAGAUACCGUCCUAGUUCCAACCAUAAACGAUGCCAACUAGCGAUUAGCUGCUGUUAUUUUUACGACACAGCUAGCAGCUUCCGGGAAACCAAAGUUUUUGGGUUCCGGGGGAAGUAUGGUUGCAAAGCUGAAACUUAAAGGAAUUGACGGAAGGGCACCACCAGGAGUGGAGCCUGCGGCUUAAUUUGACCCAACACGGGAAAUCUCACCCGGCCCGGACACUGUAAGGAUUGACAGAUUGAGAGCUCUUUCUUGAUUCGGUGGGUGGUGGUGCAUGGCCGUUCUUAGUUGGUGGAGCGAUUUGUCUGGUUAAUUCCGAUAACGAACGAGACUCUAGCCUGCUAAAUAGUACGUCGAUCUUUAGUCGGCGCGUACCUCUUAGAGGGACAAGUAGCGGUAAGCUACACGAAAUUGAGCAAUAACAGGUCUGUGAUGCCCUUAGAUGUACGGGGCCGCACGCGCGCUACACUGAAGGGAUAAGCGUGUUUUUCCUGCUCCGAAAGGAGUGGGCAAUCCGCUGAAACCCCUUCGUGAUUGGGAUCGGGGCUUGAAAUUAUUCUCCGUGAACGAGGAAUUCCCAGUAAGCGCGAGUCAUAAGCUCGCGUUGAUUACGUCCCUGCCCUUUGUACACACCGCCCGUCGCUACUACCGAUUGAAUGGUUUAGUGAGAUCUUCGGAUUGGUCCGGAGGUGUCCGCAAGGUCGCCUCUAGGUGCCGAGAAGAUGAUCAAACUUGAUCAUUUAGAGGAAGUAAAAGUCGUAACAAGGUU
rnacentral:rRNA from 1 species